GGGGGAUUAGCUCAAAGGUAGAGCACUCAUUUAGCAUGAGAGAGGUAGCAGGAUCUAUACCCACAUUCUCCA
rnacentral:tRNA from 1 species